AAAAGACCCAAUUUAAUACUUAUUAAUCUUUCCAGUGGUGAAAUAUCCCUUUAACAUAGCCUAAGGGUAAAAUUAAAUGAUGCAACAUACUAGACCGUUAAUAGUCUAUGUACAGUAGGUGGCGGUAAAAGUUGUUUGCAAUCCGCCAUUAAAUAGGAGAAGAAGAAGAAAAAGAAGAAGUCGGCAAAGAAGAAGACAGUUGUCUUUUCAUGGAAACUGAAAGCAGUCUCGGGGCUCGUGACAAGGCAACUCUGACAAGAGUCGCUGGUUUGAGCCGGAAGCAGAGCUGUUAGGAACAGCAGGUGUUGACCCAUACGGAGGCGGGACGGGAACUGGUCCAUCUGUGCAGAGAAGGAUCAGAGAAACAGAAGAAGGACAGGAAGAGGGCUGCAGAUGGCAGGCUUUCUGGAUAGCUUCCGCUGGCCAGAGUGUGAAUGCAUUGACUGGGGGGAGAGGAGGAACGCAGUGGCUUCUAUUGCCUCUGGAGUUCUGUUCUUCACAGGCUGGUGGAUCAUGAUUGACGCAGCAGUGACGUAUCCAUCGCAGGAGCAGAUGAACCAUGCAUUCCACACAUGUGGUGUGUUCUCCACCAUAGCAUUCUUCAUGAUAAAUGCAGUUUCUAAUGGCCAGGUGAGAGGAGACACAUAUGGAGAGGGCUGCCUUGGCCGGACAGGAGCUCGUCUCUGGCUGUUUAUCGGCUUCAUGAUGAUGUUUGGCUCGCUCAUCGCUUCCAUCUGGAUCCUGUUCGGUGGCUACGUGGUGCCAAAGAAAGAAGUGGCCCCCGGGCUGGCUGUGUUCUUUCAGAACGCCUUCAUCUUUUUUAGCACUCUGAUCUACAAGUUUGGCCGGACUGAAGAUUUAUGGGGUUAGAGGGUCUGUCUGAUUACUGUCUUUCUGUCUCUCACUCUCUCACCAACACACACACAUCUGGUAUACAGUGUGUUAGUAGUUCUGCAUCCCUUUUCAUGUGUUUCCUGAUAUGAAAAUAGUUUUUCUGUCCUUGCUUUGGCUACAUUUGCAUACUUCUAAAUUAAUUUCAAUGUUUGCAUUAUAAAUGAGGGAAUUCCUUUUUUGUUAUUGAGAACCAAGAAGCCAGGUUCAGGUCAGUGUUAUUGUAUCUCAGAUGCAUCUUAAGUGUCAGUUGUGUCAACUCAUGUCAGCAUUUGUUCAAUGUGUAGAUGGUUACAGUGUAAGUUUACUGUAGUGGAUCAGAAAGGGAGAACAGCAUUUGUUCUAGGAUGGACUGAUUUAUUGAUAUAAGUACAAUCUGAAGUGGAUGUGAGGCCCUUUCUGCUGUCUCUACUUAUUUUUUAUUAUAAUGUAUUUCAGAAGACAUGAGUUUUUUCUUUCAUCGGUCUGAUUCAUAUUGGGGUCAGUUUCCUUUUGACAUACUAGUCUCUGCCGUUCUGCCUCAGGAGGAAGUGUUUUUUACAUUGUCUGUUUUGUCCACUUGUACUUUGUCCUUGUUUAGCUCUCGUUUCUUCAGAACAUGUGUAAAGUGAAAUGCAAGUAUUCUGAUGGUUUUUGGUAUAAAACAAAUUUUGUGAAGUCAGACUGUAGGAACAGUAUUAAAGGACUUGUAAUGGACUAAUUUACAGUAUUUGCUACAAUAUCACAUAGAGACAUGUGCAUCAGGCAAUUUUUUAACGUAAUAAGAUGGACUUUUACUCUGAAGCUUUUAAGGUGGAGUAAAAAUACGAUCUGGGAAUUUGGGGUUAUUUCCCAUCUGUUGUUCAACCUUUUUAUCAUUUGUGUAUCUUGUGAAGAGCUUAAAAUGUGAAAAAUAAAGAACAUUUUUAAUUGGAGAAUGCUGUAGAUAGUCAUCCAUCCAGCUGUCCAGAAGCCAAAGUAGCCAGACCCUUUGAGCCUAUGAUUAGUUUUGGGCACUCUGCGACGCAGUCGAUCAGCUGACCUGAGUUCUAAUCAAAGCCCAUGAAGGGAAGAGUUCAGGAUGGAUGGAUGGGUCAAAC